rfam:Camelus ferus unplaced genomic scaffold scaffold1652, whole genome shotgun sequence.
GAGGGUAUCGUUCAGUGGUAGAGUGAAGGCUUAGCAUGCACAAGGUCCUGGGUUCAAUCCCCAGUACCUCCU